AGAGUUUGAUCAUGGCUCAGAUUGAACGCUGGCGGUAUGCCUAACACAUGCAAGUCGAACGAGGUAGCAAUACCUAGUGGCGGACGGGUGAGGAAUACGUAGGGAUCUGCCCUUAAGUGGGGGAUAACCCGGGGAAACCCGGAUUAAUACCGCAUGAUCUCGCAAGAGCAAAGAGGGGGACCGCAAGGCCUCUCGCUUUUGGAGGAACCUACGUCGGAUUAGCUAGUUGGUGAGGUAAUGGCUCACCAAGGCGACGAUCCGUAACUGGUCUGAGAGGAUGAUCAGUCACACCGGAACUGAGACACGGUCCGGACUCCUACGGGAGGCAGCAGUGGGGAAUAUUGGACAAUGGGCGAAAGCCUGAUCCAGCAAUACCGCGUGUGUGAAGAAGGCCUUCGGGUUGUAAAGCACUUUAAGUUGGGAAGAAAAAGCUUCACCUAAUACGUGAAGCCUUGACGGUACCGACAGAAUAAGCACCGGCUAACUCUGUGCCAGCAGCCGCGGUAAUACGAAGGGGGCUAGCGUUGUUCGGAAUUACUGGGCGUAAAGCGUGCGUAGGUGGUUUGAUAAGUCGAUUGUGAAAGCCCCGGGCUUAACCUGGGAAUUGCGGUCGAUACUGUCAGACUCGAAAACGGUAGAGGGAGGUGGAACUCCAGGUGUAGCGGUGAAAUGCGUAGAUAUCUGGAAGAACACCGAUGGCGAAGGCAGCCUCCUGGGCCUGUUUUGACACUGAGGCACGAAAGCGUGGGGAUCAAACAGGAUUAGAUACCCCGGUAGUCC
rnacentral:rRNA from 1 species